rnacentral:lncRNA from 1 species
UAAAUCCCAUUUUUGUUUACAGAAGGGAACUUGUAGUUGAGAGAUGAGCAGCAGGGUCCGUUUAAAAAGUCUAAUUUGAACUAAAGCCGAUCACUAUAACACUUUUUAUAAAGCAUUGAAUAAAGAGCAAAAAAGUGGAAGGGAGAUAUUUGACAACCUUAUAACAUGUCACAAACGGACUGGGCCCAUAACUGACUGAACAUAAGGUGCUGGAGUAUUUAAGCGAGAUGCCUUCUGAAUGACAAGAAAGGAACUUAUAGUCGAGAAAUGGACAGCAGCGUCUGUUUAAAAAGUCACUCAAUCCUAACUGCUCAAUCUUAACUCGCCUGCCAAGCCAGCAACUACUGUUAAAACUCCUCCAAUAAUUAAUACCAUAAGAAAACUGGCCUUAGACUCCAAUGGCUCACUAUUCCUGUCCAAAGUAGCAGUUAUGAUAAUGUUGGACCAAAGAGUGCUAAAAAUCUCCAACAGCAAUUCGGCUGUCAGCAAAAAUGACUAGUCCUGACAACAUA